ensembl:lncRNA
CUUCUUGACCACAAGGACCUCAGGAGAUCUUGUUUCUUUUGUGCUUGAGGCUAACCCUGAAGAAUAAAGGUGUAAGCAUCUUUGGAAGCUAUGUUUUUGAAAUAAAGUGAAUCACUCUGGCAGGCUCAUUGUGAAGAAGUGUUAGCAAUACUGAAAAAGAACAAUAUUUUUCAAUUAGCUUUGAAGAAUAAUUGCAUUAAUUUGGAGAUGUGCUUCCUUGUACUUCUGUCAGAACAUUUGGUGCCUAGACUCAUACAUCAUUCUUCAUAAGAACUUUAGACCAGAAAUUCUUAGAUAAUGGUCUACACAGCACUUGCUGAUGUUUCAUGGGAGUCUGGUUGGUCACAAAGUGCUGUUUUCUUCUUUUGACUCUCAGCUAUGAAACUAAAUUAAAAGUUAAUGAUAAUUAAAAAAAAAUAACUGUUAAAACUUUUAAAACAAACAAACAAAAAAAUAACAUUUUUGGAUUUUAUUCAGUUGCUGCAUUUGGAAAAAAGAAAGAUUUGUGAUUAAAAAAGAAGUGGGAGAAUCUCCAGAACGACUAAAUAGGAAGGACAGUCUGCAAUUGAGACUCUGGAUGGUAGUGGAGUUCACUUGGAAAUGUAUUAUUUAGAGAGAUCAAGGCCAGAACAACAGCAUAACAGUGGGUGUAAAUUCUGUAGAGGAAAGUGUACAGCUUUGCUGUUCUAUUUAAUAAAUCAUUUCUGAGUUGAGAGAAGGAAAAAAAUGAAAGGGAUAGACUGUAUGCAGAAAAUGUUGGGUUCAAGUCACAGCUGACCCAGAACAGCACUUAGUUGUCCAAAGUUAGGUUUUCAGAAGAAUUUAACACCUCCCUCCAAAACUCAGUUCACUCAGGCAACCAACACUGUGUCUCUGGAGAUGAUCAGAGUUGCCCUCAUCUUGACACAUCAAAAUAUCUUAGCAUAUAACUCAAUUGGAAAUCUAGAAAGCGGUAGUUCCUAAAUUUGAAUCCCUGUAUAUGCCAUAAGUAAGUAUAUAGAACUUACAGCAUGUAUGUCAAGAGGAUCACACUCUCUAUAGAGAAGAAAUCAUCCUUUGUUUUGAGGCUGUCAGUGCUGUUAUGCUGCUGUUUUUUUCGGUAGUCUUGCAGUUAGAGCACUUGAGCAGAAGGUGAAAGAUCAAACUUCAGACCAUGCCAUUGCCAGGUGGGAUUGAAGUCUCCCUACUGGCAGGAAAGUGCAGUAAUGAUUGUGUAUUGGGGCACCUUCAUCUUGCUAUGGUAACUUCAGGUUAGAGAAGAACAUUCAGUAGUCUCAGGGUACAAAAGUAAGCGUUACUCUAUACCUUUAUGGGAUAUUUGGCAUAGUUGAGAUGACCAUUUAAAAUUAAAUACUUGUAAUAUCCUGCAAGCAGGGAUUGGGUAAAUAUUUCAGCUACAGAGAAGUGGAGCCAACAUUUCUUCUGAGCUAUAUAUUGGCUCAAAAAAUCCUUAAAUACUUCACUGGAAAGUGAUUUAGUGAUAGGAGGGGACAAUAUGCCCUUCCUUACCUCCGUGUCCGCAACCAUCUUGUCUUCCACCUGGAGUUCUGAGCUCCUCCAUGCAAAGGGAGAUUCUGAAUCUUCCUCAACAAGUGAAGGAAUUAAACCUGGUGUUCCUGCUUCUUCUCUGAGAUUGCUAAAUGAAUGAAUGAAUGAAUAAAUAAAUAAAUAAAUAAAUAAAUAAGAAACUCCAGCCACUUUUUACAAGGGCAACCCACCUUUGAAACAAAAACUAUACCUGUCUGCAGAAAUGCAUUUCCCUACUGGCUUGAAUAUACUAAUUUCAGACAUCCAUUUCCUUGUUGCAUCGCUUUCCUGAGCACCAAGCUCUUGUUACCAACUUCACAAUAAGCUUAGACUUGGACAAAAAGCCAGAGCCAGAUACUAUACAAAAAAAUCUGGUAUUAUACUGUAUAACUUUAAGUGCAGAAGUCAUUUGCUGGCACUUGCCCUUAACCUGUUGAGGUCAAUGGAAUCACUCCAGAUUUAUACCAGAAAAUCUAAGCUUGACAGUGGCCAACCAUGUCUAGAUGUUGGAUAUUUGCUUCAGCAUAGAAUAAUAAAGACAGAUUUUUCUUCCCAUUUCCUUCUGAGUCAAGCAGCAGAUGUAUUUCGUUAAGCUCAUUCCUGAAGCAGCUUGCUAGGCUUGGUGAAUAGUACCUUCCCACUGUUCCUCUUUAUCAGUGCUACUGUGGCAGGUAUCCUAGAGGGAAAACUGUUCUUUGACUAAAUCUGUUAAGGAAUGUGAGAUAAUAUGCCCCCAAAAAAGAAACAGAUCACAGUUUUCCUAAUGUUUCAUGAAUCCCAUCAACUAAGUCAAUACUCUCCAUGACCAGAAAAUCAUUCAUCUGCUACCCAUUUCAGUAUGCACUGCAAUUAUUAAAUACUUCAGCUGAAUUAUCUGAAUUCACAUUUUUUGCUAUAGUUUGUUAUUAUAACCUCUGUUCAAAUGUCUGCAAUUGCCACUUACAAAUUUAUACUGUGAAUAGAAAAAAAGAUACAGCCCAGUGAAGCAUAAAGGUAAGUAAAAAAAUUCAUCGAGGUGAUGAAUUGGUGUGUAUGGUUGGUUUUGUCUUAUCUCAGUAACGACAGUACAAACAAACAAUAAUCAUUAAGUCACUCUGAUCUGCCAAAUGGGAACAAAUAUACUAUGUAUAUUACAUGUACUAAUAGGAUUAUAUGGCAGCUGCUGGUGGUAUUUGUAAUUAGAAAUCUAUAUAGAAUAUAGAUGUUUUAGAGAGACGGUGCCAAUUCUAAAAGAUUUGUGUGGGCUACAAGUGCUUGUAAUUAUUAUUAUUUUUUAAUUUGCUAAUAACUUAUGAACAACUGGUUUCAAACAUUCUGUGAGCGUUUGUUCUUUUUUAUGUUGUUGCUGCUUAUACUAUUAAAAACAUAGAGAAUGUAAAGUUAUUAUUUUGAUGUGAACUGAAAAUGAUUUUUCAUAAAAUAUAACAUUUUUAUCAGCUUUGGUUUUGCUUUCUACCUGUACAAAUGUAAUUUAUUUUAGCAUUGAAAAAAUACAUUUGCCUGUUUCUCAAUUGUCUACAUCAUGUUAUAGUUGGUGUUUAUAUGUAGAGUCAGGUACUUUUUGAACAGUAUUAAAAAAAAUCCUGUG